rnacentral:rRNA from 1 species
GAUGAACGCUGGCGGCGUGCCUAAUACAUGCAAGUCGAGCGAAUGGAUUAAGAGCUUGCUCUUAUGAAGUUAGCGGCGGACGGGUGAGUAACACGUGGGUAACCUGCCCAUAAGACUGGGAUAACUCCGGGAAACCGGGGCUAAUACCGGAUAACAUUUUGAACCGCAUGGUUCGAAAUUGAAAGGCGGCUUCGGCUGUCACUUAUGGAUGGACCCGCGUCGCAUUAGCUAGUUGGUGAGGUAACGGAUCACCAAGGCAACGAUGCGUAGCCGACCUGAGAGGGUGAUCGGCCACACUGGGACUGAGCCACGGCCCAGACUCCGACGGGAGGCAGCAGUAGGGAAUCUUCCGCAAUGGACGAAGGUCUGACGGAGCAACGCCGCGUGAGUGAUGAAGGCUUUCGGGUCGUAAAACUCUGUUGUUAGGGAAGAACAAGUGCUAGUUGAAUAGGCUGGCACCUUGACGGUACCUAACCAGAAAGCCACGGCUAACUACGUGCCAGCAGCCGCAGUAA